rnacentral:rRNA from 1 species
CCCUACGGGGGGCAGCAGUAGGGAAUUUUCGUCAAUGGGCGCAAGCCUGAACGAGCAAUGCCGCGUGAACGAGGAAGGUCUUCGGAUCGUAAAGUUCUGUUGAAGGGGGAAAAGAGCGGAGAGAGGAAAUGGUCUCCGAUUGAUAUUACCCUUCGAGGAAGUCACGGCUAACUACGUGCCAGCAGCCGCGGUAAUACGUAGGUGGCGAGCGUUAUCCGGAAUGAUUGGGCGUAAAGGGUGCGUAGGCGGCCUGCUAAGUCUGGAGUGAAAGGUACCGGCUCAACCGGUGCAGGCUCAGGAAACUG